rnacentral:rRNA from 1 species
CCUACGGGCGGCAGCAGUGGGGAAUAUUGCACAAUGGGGGAAACCCUGAUGCAGCGACGCCGCGUGAGGGAAGAAGUAUCCCGGUAUGGAAACUUCCAUCAGCAGGGAAGCAAAUGAUGGUACCUGAUUAAGAAGCCCCGGCUAACUACGUGUCAGCAGCCGCGGUAAUAGGUAGGGGGCAAGCGUUACCCGGAUUUACUGGGUGUAAGGGGAGCGUAGACGGAAGAGCAAGCCUGAUGUGAAAGGCUGGGGCUUAACCCCAGGACUGCAUUGGAAACUGCUUUUCUAGAGUGCCGGAGAGGUAAGCGGAAUUCCUAGUGUAGCGGUGAAAUGCGUAGAUAUUAGGAGGAACACCAGUGGCGAAGGCGGCUUACUGGACGGUAACUGACGUUGAGGCUCGAAAGCGUGGGGAGCAAACAGGAUUAGAUACCCGUGUAGUC